rnacentral:rRNA from 1 species
GAUGAACGCUGGCGGCGUGCCUAAUACAUGCAAGUCGAGCGAAUGGAUUAAGAGCUUGCUCUUAUGAAGUUAGCGGCGGACGGGUGAGUAACACGUGGGUAACCUGCCCAUAAGACUGGGAUAACUCCGGGAAACCGGGGCUAAUACCGGAUAACAUUUUGAACCGCAUGGUUCGAAAUUGAAAGGCGGCUUCGGCUGUCACUUAUGGAUGGACCCGCGUCGCAUUAGCUAGUUGGUGAGGUAACGGCUCACCAAGGCAACGAUGCGUAGCCGACAUGAGAGGGUGAUCAGCCACACGGGGACUGAGACACGGCCCAGACUCCUACGGGAGGCAGCAGUAGGGAAUCUUCCGCAAUGGACGAAAGUCUGACGGAGCAACGCCGCGUGAGUGAUGAAGGCUUUCGGGUCGUAAAACUCUGUUGUUAGGGAAGAACAAGUGCUAGUUGAAUAAGCUGGCACCUUGACGGUACCUAACCAGAAAGCCACGGCUAACUACGUGCCAGCCGCCGCGGUAA